rnacentral:rRNA from 1 species
AUUGAACGCUGGCGGCAUGCUUUACACAUGCAAGUCGAACGGCAACGAGGAGAAGCUUGCUUCUCUGUCGGCGAGUGGCGAACGGGUGAGUAUAGCAUCGGAACGUUCCAAGUAGUGGGGGAUAACCAAACGAAAGUUUGGCUAAUACCGCGUAAGCUCCAAGGAGGAAAGUAGGGGACCUAAAUAAGGCCUUACGCUAUUUGAUCGGCCGAUGUCGGAUUAGCUAGUUGGUGGGGUAAUGGCUCACCAAGGCAAUGAUCCGUAGCGGGUCUGAGAGGACGAUCCGUCACACUGGGACUGAGACACGGCCCAGACUCCUACGGGAGGCAGCAGUGGGGAAUUUUGGACAAUGGGGGAAACCCUGAUCCAGCCAUGCCGCGUGUAUGAAGAAGGCCUUAGGGUUGUAAAGUACUUUUGUUAGGGAAGAAAAGCUAGUUUUUAAUAAAAAUUAGUGAUGACGGUACCUAAAGAAUAAGCACCGGCUAACUACGUG